rnacentral:rRNA from 1 species
CUAACACAUGCAAGUCGAACGAACCCUUCGGGGUUAGUGGCGCACGGGUGCGUAACGCGUGGGGAUCUGCCCUUUGCUUCGGAAUAACAGUUAGAAAUGACUGCUAAUACCGGAUGAUGUCUUCGGACCAAAGAUUUAUCGGCAAAGGAUGAGCCCGCGUAGGAUUAGGUAGUUGGUGGGGUAAAGGCCUACCAAGCCGACGAUCCUUAGCUGGUCUGAGAGGAUGAUCAGCCACACUGGGACUGAGACACGGCCCAGACUCCUACGGGAGGCAGCAGUGGGGAAUAUUGGACAAUGGGCGAAAGCCUGAUCCAGCAAUGCCGCGUGAGUGAUGAAGGCCUUAGGGUCGUAAAGCUCUUUUACCCGGGAUGAUAAUGACAGUACCGGGAGAAUAAGCCCCGGCUAACUCCGUGCCAGCAGCCGCGGUAAUACGGAGGGGGCUAGCGUUGUUCGGAAUUACUGGGCGUAAAGCGUACGUAGGCGGUUAUUCAAGUCAGAGGUGAAAGCCCGGGGCUCAACCCCGGAACGGCCUUUGAAACUAGGUAGCUAGAGUCUUGGAGAGGUCAGUGGAAUUCCGAGUGUAGAGGUGAAAUUCGUAGAUAUUCGGAAGAACACCAGUGGCGAAGGCGACUGACUGGACCAAGUACUGACGCUGAGG